rnacentral:lncRNA from 1 species
UCCAUUUGCAGCACUAAAAUCGUAGCCCGAACCCAAAGGUUUCCACUACCCGAACCCUUAAUUGUCUCCAGCUCCGGCGGUGGUUUUGCCGUCUUCAUCGGCGGUUUCCUUGUCAGAAACUUCUCUCGAUCGGUUGGUUUGUACGAUAGAGACGGUUGCAGAGCAGGUGGUCCGACCGAACCGGUGCUCAGCGUGCCGGAAGAGGGUCGAAAGGCAGGGAGAAAGGCAAUCGCGAGGGAGAAGUUUCAGAUCUCGCCUAGAGACUGGGAGCCCUAGCAUACGAGUGAUACUUAUUAUUUAAGUUUUCACUUCAGCUUCAUUUUUUAAACCUCCGUGUUUUACUCGAAUGACAACAUUUUUUAAAAAAAACGUUAUCUAAUUAACACCAAAAAAAUGCCCUUUUAAAUAGAUAACGUUUUUUCAUAUGUAUCUAUAACGUUUUUUUUAAAAUCGUUGUAAAAAAAAAUUACCAAACGUUGUGGUUUAAGUGUUGUCUAUUUACUAUUUUGUAGUAGUGAUUCUAUGUGUUUUCUAGGUGAGAUAAAGGCAUUAACGUGUAGUCCUUAUACCAGAAUACAACACAAAAACAACAACUUAGCCUAAACAUCAAACAUCAGCAAGAUCCAUGGCCUGCAAACACAUUGUCAGAGGUUACUGGAAUUCUGGGCUGCCCAGAAUUCAUUUUCCGUGAACGGUCAACCUACUUUGACCAAUCAUAUCAUGAUUUCUAGACACUAUCAGACCAUGAUUCCAAUUUCAGAAUAAAGACCACAGAACAUACUACAAGGUUGAAUAUUUAAAACACUAAACACGUUAACAUACACCGAUCUAUGAAGCCUGACAUUUGCUUGUCAACCACAUUUAAAAAUAUUUCUAGAUUUUUUUAAAACAUGAUUUUGAGCACUUUGAUGUUAUGGAUUCACUAUAUAGCAACCCAAAUCAUCAAGUGACAUCCUUAUACACUACUUUAAACAACAAACAACAAAAUCUAACAUCAAAUCCUAAGAUUUUUAUAAAGCUAAGGUUUAUACCUUUAUGCUCAAAUCCUUUGAUUCUGACCUCUAAUCAUGCUCUUGAUGAUCAAGAGACUUGUUUAGAGACUGAAAUACUUUGUAUUUUCGGAGGUUGGGAGAGAGAGAGAGAGUUGUUAGGAGCUUGGGUGAAAAAUGACCAACUUUUUAUGACUUUCUCUCUCUAAUUCUCUAAUAUAUCUAUUGGUGCAAUGAAUUCAGCUGAUAAGGUGGCUGAAUGCUGUGAAUUAAGUCACAUAGGGUGGUUAGAGUUGGUGAACAACUCUCAAUUUGCCAAGAUUUGCAAGCUAAGUCACAAUAAUGCAAAAAGGGUAUUAUAGUCAUUUCGCAUUUAAUUUUAAUGGCAUUUUGGACAUUGUCCAAACCCUUAGGGUUUAGGGUUUAGGUUAGGGUUUAGACCAUUUAGGGUUUAGGGUUUGGAACAUUUAGGGUUUACAAUUUAAUUUUCUAGAAUUUCUAAAUUUAGAUUUUCAAAAAUAGAAAAAAUAAUAUUUUAAAAUUAUAAUUAGAAUUUUCUAAUUAUAUUAAAAUUUCUUAAUCAUUACUUAAAUCUUGCUAAUUAGAUUUAAUAUAUCGUAAUUAAAAUUACUAAUUUUGCAGUUACGGUCAAAAUCACGGAUUAGGGUUUACAACCCAAAAAUUAGGGUUUCUAAUAUAAAAAUAAUUUUCUAAUUUAGAAAUUAGAUUAGGGUUUUUUCUAAUUACUAAUAACUUGAAAAUUAGGAUUAAUAUUUCCUAAUUAACAUUAGUAAGUUGUAUUUGAAUUCUGUACCAUGUAUCUGGCGACCCAAGAUGGGUGAUGUAUACCUAAUUUUGGGGGCGUCACACCAAGCACCUUUCUCUACACCACCUUUGUCACAGCAAGGUCUUCUUCCCAUCUUCUAAUCCCUCAUAUAAAUAAGGGAUUACUUUAUCCCAUGACUGUACUAAUCCCUCAUAAACAUAUCAGUUUUAAUCCCUUGAUAAUGGCUUGCAUUUCUUCUGCUAAAGACUUCAAUUGAAUCUGCAAGGAAGACCCUUAAGCAGCCAUUUUCUAGCAACAAUGUUUGAUAUUGGUAGUGAGAAAUGAAUAGAAUGCCAACCUUUGAUGCAUGUUCGAGACUAACAAGAUCCUCGUGGAAGUCUAAUAGAGCUGGAGACUUAGAUGCAAGAACCUGACAACAAAAAGUAAUGAGAUGAAAUAUUAACUCAUAAUUAUAACAAGAUUCCAACACCACCAAUAUGAGGGGAAAAGGACUGACGAAUAACAGGUAGUAAAGAGAAACAAUGGCUUGUUAUCAUGUGCUGGAAAAUUCUUUGUUUACUUCAUUACCAAUAAAUCCAACAGAAAUACGUGAAUAAUCUACUAGCAUAUGACAAUGAGAAGGCCAUUACAAUGACAAUGCAAUAUACUUGAAAGCAAAAUCCCAGUCAUCUUAUAAACAUAAUUAGAUACAGUACGCCUUAAUAAAGUAUAAUUCUUAGAAAUUAGGAAACAUCUCUUAUUAAGAGGAAGUGCAAAAAUUGACAAAAACAGAGCGAGGUGGUUGUUGAUUGCUGGGAUGAUUACAGAAACGCUAAGAAUAGACAAAAGGCUUAAAUUUUCAAAGUGCCCUAACAAGAAAAGAGGGGGAGGGGUAGGAUUAAGGGAGCCUGUGUGCUGCAAGGAAGAUUUUUUGCACAAUAAUGAAGACAACAAAGCUAAGAAAAUGGCUCUAAUAAAACAAGUCUUUUGCCUUUCCUAUGAAUUGAGAUAUAUCAGACACCGUAGAACACAAAAUUAGAUUCUUUGAGCAUAAAUCAAUUAGAUAAUAAAGAAUAAAAGAAUCAACAAGACAUUAUAGAAGAGAGAAACAAAAUUACAUUUUGAAUCAGCCGCAAACCCUAAAUGAAAAUUUUCAAAUAAUCAAAACUCUACAAUAAUCAAAUACUACAUAUUAUCAAGUAAAGUAUUACCUUAAUCCAAAAUUUGGUGUAGAGCCGAGCGAAAUCAGGUAAGCUUGAUAUCGAAAUAACGGAUCUGACAAAUUCAUACGGUGCAACUUUGAUAGAAGAUCAUAGAGUAGCGACUGUUUCCAUUUGCAGCACUAAAAUCGUAGCCCGAACCCAAAGGUUUCCACUACCCGAACCCUUAAUUGUCUCCAGCUCCGGCGGUGGUUUUGCCGUCUUCAUCGGCGGUUUCCUUGUCAGAAACUUCUCUCGAUCGGUUGGUUUGUACGAUAGAGACGGUUGCAGAGCAGGUGGUCCGACCGAACCGGUGCUCAGCGUGCCGGAAGAGGGUCGAAAGGCAGGGAGAAAGGCAAUCGCGAGGGAGAAGUUUUAGAUCUCGCCUAGAGACUGGGAGCCCUAGCAUAAGAGUGAUACUUAUUAUUU